rnacentral:miRNA from 1 species
AUAUUUUGUGGUUAUAUAUAUGCUGUAUGUGUAUAUAUAUAUACACACACACACAUAUAUACACACAUAUAUAUG